rnacentral:rRNA from 1 species
AUACGUAGGGUGCGAGCGUCGUCCGGAAUUACUGGGCGUAAAGAGCUCGUAGGUGGUUUGUCGCGUCGUCUGUGAAAUUCCGGGGCUUAACUCCGGGCGUGCAGGCGAUACGGGCAUAACUUGAGUACUGUAGGGGAGACUGGAAUUCCUGGUGUAGCGGGGAAAUGCGCAGAUAUCAGGAGGAACACCGGUGGCGAAGGCGGGUCUCUGGGCAGUAACUGACGCUGAGGAGCGAAAGCAUGGGUAGCGAACAGGAUUAGAUACCCUGGUAGUCCAUGCCGUAAACGGUGGGCGCUAGGUGUAGGGGUCUUCCACGACUUCUGUGCCGUAGCUAACGCAUUAAGCGCCCCGCCUGGGGAGUACGGCCGCAAGGCUAAAACUCAAAUGAAUUGACGGG